UACGUAGGGUGCAAGCGUUAAUCGGAAUUACUGGGCGUAAAGCGUGCGCAGGCGGUUGGGCAAGACAGGUGUGAAAUCCCCGGGCUUAACCUGGGAACUGCAUUUGUGACUGCACGGCUAGAGUGCGGCAGAGGGGGAUGGAAUUCCGCGUGUAGCAGUGAAAUGCGUAGAUAUGCGGAGGAACACCGAUGGCGAAGGCAAUCCCCUGGGCCUGCACUGACGCUCAUGCACGAAAGCGUGGGGAGCAAACAGG
rnacentral:rRNA from 1 species